GGGUGUGAUCAUACCAACACUAAUGCACCGGAUCCCAUCAGAACUCCGCAGUUAAGCGUGUUUGGGCGAGAGUAGUACUAGGAUGGGUGACCUCCUGGGAAGUCCUCGUGUUGCACCCCU
rnacentral:rRNA from 1 species